GUCAAACUACAAUGUGGAGGCAUGGAAGGGCCCAGGCAUGCACUGCCGUGGAAGAAUAGAACAGGAGACGGCACGGCAGCUUGUGGCGUUAUGAAAGCCAGGCUAUAAGCUGUCUGUGGCAGGCACCCAUUUUUCAUUAUUUGUGCAGGUACUGCCAAGACCGCAGGCUGUUUCCAGAACCCCCAGGUAUGUGCUGAGGCCAGGCAGGAGGGACCCACCAUGAACAGGAGUCAAUUCCCUGGGGGAGAAAAAGAAUUUUGAAGGAACAAAAAGGACUGCCAACCAAGACCUUGCCCGUCCUGGGGAGCAGGCGCAGGCACUCGUCAGCUGUUUGGGGGCAUGGCUGUGAGAGAGAACAGCAGGAGAGCUAGCUCCAACAGCAAUGUCCAUGUACUGCUGGUGUCCAGGGAAGAGCCCCAGCAAGGUCCCCUCCACCUUCCACUAGGCUCACAGCAGAACCAGAGACUUCUCUGUGUGUGAAUGAGUCCACGUUUUUUCAGGUGGACUGAAGUGAUUUGUGGUCCUGGGG